rnacentral:rRNA from 1 species
GUUAGCGGCGGACGGGUGAGUAACACGUGGGCAACCUGCCUGUAAGACUGGGAUAACUCCGGGAAACCGGAGCUAAUACCGGAUAGUAUCUUGAACCGCAUGGUUCAAGCUGGAAAGACGGUUUCGGCUGUCACUUACAGANGGGCCCGCGGCGCAUUAGCUAGUUGGUGAGGUAAUGGCUCACCAAGGCAACGAUGCGUAGCCGACCUGAGAGGGUGAUCGGCCACACUGGGACUGAGACACGGCCCAGACUCCUACGGGAGGCAGCAGUAGGGAAUCUUCCGCAAUGGACGAAAGUCUGACGGAGCAACGCCGCGUGAGUGAUGAAGGUUUUCGGAUCGUAAAACUCUGUUGUUAGGGRAGAACAAGUGCGAGAGUAACUGCUU